CGUGUAGGCGGCCUUGCAAGUCAGACGUGAAAUUCACCGGCUUAACUGGUGACCUGCGUUUGAAACUGCUUGGCUUGAGUACGGGAGAGGAAAGCGGAAUUCUCGGUGUAGCGGUGAAAUGCGUAGAUAUCGAGAAGAACACCAGUGGCGAAGGCGGCUCUCUGGCCCGAUACUGACGCUGAGGCGCGAAAGCUAGGGGAGCAAACA
rnacentral:rRNA from 1 species